AAUAUAAACUUAGGUUUAAAUGAGGAAAAAAUUCUAUUUUAAGUAAUAUAUUGAAAAUAAAUAAAAUAAGUACUGUUAAGGAAAAUUAGAAUAUUGAAAUAGAAAAAUUUUACUUUUAUACCUUUUGUAUCAGGGAAAAAUUAUAAAUUAUUAAAUUAAUAUUUCCCGAAGUGGAUUGAGCUAAUUUAUAAAAUAAUAAAGUGUUUCAUAAUUUAUAAAUUUUAAGUUAGAAGUGAAAUGCUAAUCGUAAUCUAAGAUAUCUGGUUCUUUAAAAUAGACUUUAUGUCUUCUAUGUAAAAUGGAAAAAUUUGUUGAGGAUAAUCCCAACAAGAUUUUAAAUACUUUAAUUUCUUUUAUUAAAAGAAUAUAAGUGUCUUAUUAGUUUUGUAACUAAUUAAAACUUUGAAAAAAAUUAAAAUAACUAUUGAAUCAAAUUAAUUGUAUUAUUGAAAUAUAAUGUUCUUAUUAGUAGAAUAGAAAUAUUAAAUUAAUAUAAAAAAUUAAUAUUAAUAUAAGAAUUUAAAUCAUUAUUAGGAACUCGAAUUUAUUUAGCCUGUUUAUCAAAAACAUGGUUUUUAGGAAUUUAUUGAAAAUCAGGCCUGCUCAAUGUGAUAUUAAUAGCCGCGGUAUUUUGACCGUGCAAAGGUAGCAUAAUAAUUUGUCUUUUAAUUUAGGACUAGAAUGAAAGGUCAAACUAAGUAAUUUUGUCUUAUAGUGAUAUUUUGAAUUUUACAUUUUAGUAAAAAGGCUAAAAUUUAUUUUAGGGACGAGAAGACCCUGUCAAACUUUACAAAUUAUCUUGUUUUUCUUAAAACAAAUCAAAUUUGUUUUACUGGGGCAGUAAAUAAAGUAAUUUUAUUUUUACAAUGUGGACAUUAUUCUUUAGAAAUCAGAAACUUUCUAAUUAAAAAUAAGUUACUGCAGGGAUAACAGCGUAAUUCUUUUUACGAGUACGUAUCAAUAAAAGAGUUUGCGACCUCGAUGUUGGAUUAAAAUUCCUGAUUCACGCAAUAGUGAAAUAAGGAAGUCUGUUCGACUUUUAAUAUUUUCCAUGAUCUGAGUUCAAAUCGGUGUAAGCCAGAUUGGUUUCUAUCUUAAAAAUAAUAAAAAUUACUCUAGUACGAAAGGACCUAGUAAGAGAGAAAUUCUAUAUAAAUUAU
rnacentral:rRNA from 1 species